GUAGGUGGCAAGCGUUGUCCGGAAUUAUUGGGGCGUAAAGCGCGCGCAGGCGGUUCUUUAAGUCUGAUGUGAAAGCCCACGGGCUCAACCGUGGAGGGUCAUUGGAAACUGGAGAACUUGAGUACAGAAGAGGAAAGCGGAAUUCCACGUGUAGCGGUGAAAUGCGUAGAGAUGUGGAGGAACACCAGUGGCGAAGGCGGCUUUCUGGUCUGUAACUGACGCUGAGGCGCGAAAGUGUGGGGAGCAAACAGGAUUAGAUACCCUGGUAGUCCACGCCGUAAACGAUGAGUGCUAAGUGUUAGGGGGUUUCCGCCCCUUAGUGCUGCAGCUAACGCAUUAAGCACUCCGCCUGGGGAGUACGGCCGCAAAGGCUG
rnacentral:rRNA from 1 species